rnacentral:rRNA from 1 species
ACUGGGCGUAGAGGGUCUGUAGGUGGUUUGUUAAGUCAGAUGUGAAAGCCCAGGGCUCAACCUUGGAACUGCAUUUGAUACUGGCAAACUAGAGUAUGGUAGAGGAAUGGGGAAUUUCUGGUGUAGCGGUGAAAUGCGUAGAGAUCAGAAGGAACACCAAUGGCGAAGGCAACAUUCUGGACCAAUACUGACACUGAGGGACGAAAGCGUGGGGAUCAAACAGGAUUAGAUACCCUGGUAGUCCACGCUGUAAACGAUGAGUACUAGCUGUUGGAUUCGGUGUAAAGGAUCUAGUGGCGUAGCUAACGCGUUAAGUACUCCGCCUGGGGACUACGGCCGCAAGGCUAAAACUCAAAGGAAUUGACGGGGACCCGCACAAGCGGUGGAGCAUGUGGUUUAAUUCGAUGCAACGCGAAGAACCUUACCUGGUCUUGACAUCCUGCGAACUUUCUAGAGAUAGAUUGGUGCCUUCGGGAACGCAGUGACAGGUGCUGCACGGCUGUCGUCAGCUCGUGUUGUGAAAUGUUGGGUUAAGUCCCGCAACGAGCGCAACCCCUAUUGAUAGUUACCAUCAUUAAGUUGGGUACUCUAUUGAGACUGCCGCUGACAAGGCGGAGGAAGGUGGGGACGACGUCAAGUCAUCAUGGCCCUUACGACCAGGGCUACACACGUGCUACAAUGGGUAUUACAGAGGGCAGCGAAGUAGCGAUAUGGAGCGAAACUCAGAAAGGUACUCUUAGUCCGGAUUGCAGUCUGCAACUCGACUGCAUGAAGUCGGAAUCGCUAGUAAUCGCAGGUCAGAAUACUGCGGUGAAUACGUUCCCGGGUCUUGUACACACCGCCCGUCACACCAUGGGAGUGGGUUGCUCCAGAAGUAGAUAGCUUAACGAA